CCCCAAAUAUUUUGAUUUCGAUACCUUGCCGUUGAUGUUUGUAAAUCGAUUUCUUCUGAAAUCCGGCGAUUGAGCUGCCGGCUGCUGAAAUUUUCCCUUUGUUUCCCUUUUUUUCAAAAAUUGAAAAAUCAAUAUAGUUGAUGGUUUUAGGCUAAACUAAUACACAAUUAAAUAUGAGAAUUUUCACUAUCAAAUAAAGCACGAAAUACAGAGCUAUGUGCAGUGUGCUAUGAUUUUGUUUGAUGUGGGGCUUGGGGAGGAGAGGCAUGUUUGUCUCAUGAUUAGGGUGUCUUUGGACUUAAAAAAAAAGAAAAAGAAAAAAGAAAGAAAAAAAAAGAAAAAAAAGAAGAAGAAAAAACGGAUGGGUGUAGGGGAAGAAAAGUUGCCUUUGUGGACCUCUGCUUUGAAUUCUUGUCAAAGGGAGUAGUUUGGACUGUUCAUCUCUUUCUUUCUUUCCAUCUGGUCCUGGUCAUAGAUAAUAAAUAGGGAGGGCCGACAUGGGCUUCUUUGCUUGAAAUCUGUGUUCACUUGACCGUGAGUAUUUCAAGCUUGGCGGGCAAUGCCAUGGCAAACAUGUGACGUUUCCGUUUUCACCUCUCAAAUGUUGGCAGCUGAUGGUGGCUUUGGUUCUUUUGAACAGUCCAAAGCUCUUCAAAACAUACAUCUUUUCUAUAAGGUUGUCAAAGGAUUUUUCAACUAGAACGAUCUCAUAAUCUAAAGCCAUCCAAAAGCAUAGGCAGACUAGGUCUAAGUAUUAUAUAGAAGAUAGUCUGCCAAUUUAUUAUUGGUAUGAUUGCAACUAAUUAUAAGUUUUUCCCCUCUCUAUUAUUUAGAGGAGUGGGUCAUCUAAUUAGCAGAAUGGGAACAAAAUAUUUUAGUCUAGUUAUCUAAUACAAUGCAAGCUAGUUUCGUCAACACGAGAGG
rnacentral:lncRNA from 1 species